CCCUAUCAUCACUGUUUUAUGUACGUCUGAAUUUUCUGUGCAACUCUUACAUAGUAGUGAAGCUACAUGUCUCUGGGCAGGGUUGCAUUGAACAAGAACUGGAGCUCCAUCAGUGCCCCAUGUCAGCACAGAACAAGUAACGGUGCCACCUCCCACUGCAGCGUAGAUCACUGGAUCCUCCACUUCCGCAGCCAAGGACAGGGGAUGCUGAAGCUGGUGCUCCUGCCUCUGGACGCUGGUCUGCAGUUUUACGCUCCCAAGCCCAUUUUAGCUUCUAAAUAUGACCUUCCUCUGGGCUCUUCUCGACAGCUCUGACAUCAUGGCAUGAUGGGCCUUUAGAGACUACCAGACCCUCUCUGAAAGAUGACAGGCCACACCCAGCAAAGCCAGAGAUUCAUCCAUCAGAUGAAUAGUUGAUUAACCACAAAUAUGCGUCAAGCACUUGCCAUGUGUACAGCACUUCAGGUUGGCACCAGGGAAGAAGUGAAGGCAACCAUGACACAGCCCCAUGCAAAGGUCAACAGCCAGAAAUGGAGAUAGAUCCUGACUUCCACAGCAGCAGGUUACCUCUAGCAGGUCUUUUUUCCAGUUCUAAACUGGGAUCCAAUCCUGUUGUAGGCCACGGUAUGCAGGAUUUGAACUUCCUUGGCACAGGAAUGAAAGAUUGUGAUCCAGUUGGUAGCUGAAAUUCCAUGUUUAUGCAGAAGAACAUCUGAAGAUUUUGUCUCCAGUGCAGCCCGGUUACGGUCACGCUCGGUAUUUAAAGAAUGAAGCGAAGCAACCACGGAAAGAGAUAAAAUGGCAAGAACUCUCCGUCCAGAGUCUGUGUAGUUGUUUCAAAUCCGAAUAGGCUUCAUAACUGGAAAAGGAAAAUAAGAAGAGAGAGGUUGGGGGUGGGGACAGAGAUAUGAGCAUUUAUCUACCAGAGCUGGCAUGGAAUCAGUGGUGUGUCAGCUUUGGAGUGGAGGGAACAUAAACUAUUUAGAACAAGAUACAUGUGGGCUCCUGGCCCUGGCAUGUGCUAAAUGAUGUUGGCACAAAGUUAUUCAUUGCAAAAUUGUUUAUAGCAGCAAAAGAUGGGGAACAACCCAAUGUACCCCAGUAGAGGACUGCUAAAUUAGCUUAUGGUUUGUCCAUACAAAGGAAUAGUGCGUAAAUGGAAAGGAAUGAGGAAGCUCUUUAUGUGCUGGUAUGGAAAGAUUUCAAGAUACAUAAAGAGAAAAACGCAAGGCCAUGGGACAGUUUGUAUAAUAUGCCAUGUUUUGUGUAAAAAUGGAAAAGAAUAAGAACAUGUACUCUCUUCACUGGAAUACACAUAAAAAAAUGCUAAAAGUGUACAACAAGGAACAACUGAGGUGGUUACUUGUGUAUGUGGUGAGGAAGACAGAUGGGGGAAAGUAGAUAUUUGGGGGUCAGUGGGACGGGAGAGCAUACCUUUCUAUGCUUUUUAUUUUUGAAUCAUGUGACUGUAUUAUGAAUUUAUAAAUCAAAUCAGAAAAGGACAGUUGUUCUUCC